rnacentral:lncRNA from 1 species
GUAUUUGAAUUUGUGGCGCUUGGUGUCCGCGAGUUGCCGAAUGAAGCUGAGCGUCUCAGUGGAACCAGGGAUCUCAGGGAGGGGAAGGUAUAAAAUUUUCAAAUGGAGGAGUAUACCUGAACCUAAUCAUGGAUGUGAUUUUAUAUACAGAUAAGCUGAUUCUAAAACUUACAAGAAUGGCAAAGAAACAAGAAGAGCUUAAACUGCAAUCAUCAACAGAGAAGCUUUCUGCAACCAAAGUGAAGACUGAAGCCUUAGGCUAUGGCAGAAGUUGGGCGCCUGAAGUACACGUGGAAAUAUGCCAACUGAACAUUGGACUACCACCGCCUGCCCCUGGCUCAGCGCCCGGUGCCAACAGAACACCUUUCAGGAUCCACAGCAACGCAGACAACGGAACUCACAAGGGCUUCGGUUCUCAAGAGGCCAUCAAAACAUAACUGCUGCCGAGACAAUACCUUUCCUUCCCCUCACUACAUUCACUGAAUGUUCUGGAUCAGUGCGUCUCACACCUUUGGAUCUUAUAAGCUACUUGGAAAAAUUUUAAAGCACCUGAUGGAUUUGGAAAAUAUUUAAUGAAGACAAUGAUGCUGACAUCUCAAGUUAAAAGGUUCUACAGAGAAGGCAAAGAUUUUGAAGGCACAGGAGACUAUCAUAGAUAUUCACAACGGCAUCUCCCUAAAGGAUUUGAAAGCUUUGCAUCAACCAAAGGAAAAGCACCAGUGAGAGUCAAGAUACAGUUCCAGACAGGCCUCAUCAGUGAAAAGAAGGACUGACUUCCAGUUCCAGACAAGUGACUGAGUAGAUUUUGACAGACAGGCAUGGAGCAGGCAGGCUGGCUGGAAACUUCAGUGAUUAUAAAAGUUAAGGAGCCUUUCUGAAGAUGUAAUUGGUUAAGAUAAGAUCAUACUGGAUGUGGAUGGGUCCUAGAUCUGACUGCUGAUAUCCUUAUAAGAAGAAGAAAGGACACGCGGAGACUACAGUGAUGUUGCCACAAGCCAAGAAAUGCCAAGAAUUUCGGGAGCCACCAGAAGAUGGAAGAGGCAGGGAAAAAUCCUCCCCUAAAGCCUUCAGAGAGAGCAUAGCUCUGCCAACACCUUGAUUCUGGACAUCUAGCCUCUUAAACUUCCUCAGGUGUCUCAUUUCUUCUGUCUCAGAAGUCAUGGAUGUCAAUGAAGAUAUGGAAUUCACUUAUUCAUUCUUAUAAAUAUUACUUAGUGUCCUUGUGCUUGGCACUGUGCUUGGUCAUUGAGAUCUACUGUUCAAAAGCAAGAUAACAUACAGGCUGGAAUAGCGAGAUGCAAGAAUCCCAAGCCUUCAAAGCCAGCUCCUGCAGAAGAGAGAGGGCCUGGCAGCUGAGCUGGAUGCUUCAGGAGCAGAGGAUCUAUCAACUGCAGACCAAGCACAGGGAGACGCAGGCAAACCUGGAACAGUAACCCAGCCAGCUCCAAUUGCUCCGACAGUACUUGGUGGCCAGAGAGUCGGCAGCAGAAAGCAUGCCCCGGGCCGUGAAGCAGGAAAUCGACUCUGACUCAAUCCUUGAGGUCUGAAGCAGAUCUAUAGACAGAGCCAGACACCACUCCUCAAACAGCAGAGAGAUGUAAGGAAGUACAGCUAUUUGACUUCACCCUUAAAGGAUUUACACUGAUCGUGGAAGAUGGUUUUCUUGUGAACCCACCCAAAGGAAAAUUCUGAAUCCACCUAAAGGAAAUUUCUGGUUUUUCCAAAUUGAACAUCAAAAUUAAAUGCAGGGAAAUUUAGUGUUUUGCAUGCCCAAAUAUUCAUUGGUUCCUCAGCAUGUUAGUGGGAUCAAAUCAGAAGAGGUUCCCAAUUAAACAUUUAAAAAAUGCAUUCACACAAAUCAAAACUACAAUGAGAUAUCAUCUCACCCCAGUUAAAAUGGCUUCUAUCCAAAAGACAGGCAAUAACACAUGCUGGCAAGAAUAUGGAGAAAAGAGAACCCUCAUACACUGUUAGUGGGAAUGUAAAUUAGUACAACCACUGUGGAAAACAGUUUGAAGUUUCCUCAAAAAGCUAAAAAUAGAACUACCAUACAACCCAGCAAUCCCACUCCUAGGUUUAUACUCAAAGGAAAUCAGUAUAUCAAAGAUAUCUGUACACCCAUGUUUAUGGCAGUACUAUUCACAAUAGCCAAGAUUUGGAAGCAACCUGAGUGUCCAUCAACAGACAAAUGGAAAGAAAAUGUGGUACAUAUACACAAUGGAGUACUAUUCAGCCAUAAAAAAGAAUGAGAUCCAGUAAUUUGAAACAUGGAUGGAACUGAAGGUCAUUACAUUAAGUGAAAUAAACCAGG